CCUUGGGGUGUCCUUGAGGUGUCCCCGAGGUGUCCCCGAGAUGUCCCUGAGAUGUUCCUGAGAUGUUCCUGAGAUGUCCCUGAGAUGUCCCUCCUGUUCCUGAGGUGUUCCUGAGGUGUUCCUCAUGUUCCUGAGAUGUUCCUGAGAUGUCCCUGAGAUGUCCCUCCUGUUCCUGAGGUGUCCCUGAGGUGUCCCCCAUGUCCCUGAGAUGUUCCUGAGAUGUUCCUCAUGUUCCUGAGGUGUUCCUGAGGUGUUCCUCAUUUCCCUGAGAUGUUCCUGAGAUGUCCCUGAGAUGUCCCUCAUGUCCCUGAGAUGUCCCUGAGAUGUCCCUCAUGUUCCUGAGGUGUCCCUGAGGUGUCCCCAAGGUGUUCCUCAUGUUCCUGAGAUGUCCCUGAGAUGUCCCCGAGGUGUUCCUGACGUGUCCCUGAGAUGUUCCUCAUGUCCCUGAGGUGUCCCCAAGGUGUUCCUCAUGUUCCUGAGAUGUUCCUCAUGUCCCUGAGAUGUCCCCGAGGUGUUCCUGAGGUGUUCCUGAGAUGUUUCUCGUGUUCCUGAGGUGUCCCCGAGGUGUUCCUCAUGUCCCUGAGGUGUCCCUGAGGUGUCCCCAAGGUGUUCCUCAUGUCCCUGAGAUGUUCCUGGGAUGUUCCUCAUGUCCCUGAGGUGUCCCUGAGAUGUUCCUGAGAUGUUCCUGAGAUGUUCCUGAGGUGUCCCCACCAUGUCCCCACCAUGUUCCCGUCCCCCCAGGCCUUCAACCGCGCCCACUGCAUCGGCCAGGGUGUUCCUCAUGUCCCUGAGAUGUCCCUGAGAUGUUCCUCAUGUUCCUGGGAUGUUCCUCAUGUCCCUGAGGUGUCCCUGAGAUGUUCCUGAGAUGUCCCUGAGAUGUCCCCCAUGUCCCUGAGAUGUUCCUGAGAUGUCCCUGAGAUGUUCUUCAUGUCUCUGAGAUGUUCCUGAGCUGUCCCCACCAUGUCCCCGUGAUGUCCCCGUCCCCCCAGGCCUUCAGCCGCGCCCACCGCAUCGGCCAGGGUGUCCCUCAUGUCCCUGA
rnacentral:lncRNA from 1 species